CCGCCGUGCCGUGCAAAGCGGAGCAAAGCCGUGCAAAAGCUGUGCAAAGCCACAGCUGCCCGUGCAGCACCAGGCCCCGUGGGGCCGUGCUGAGCUGAGCCGGGCAGCACCGGGGGGGGGGGGGGCUCGGGGGGGGGCAGCCCCCAAGCAGAUCGCGGCUGCACUGCCCCUGGGUACCCGGGGGGGUGAGGAGGGUGAGGGGGGGCUGCUGGUGCCGGGGUCACACCUGGUGUGUGUGCAACGUGCAGAGAGCACACACACUGCAAGGCACGGCAGGGGUGUGCACACGCUUGUGCGUGAUCACAUGCGUGUGCAUUGCUCUGUGUGUGUGGUCCUGCACAGCUGCACGCUCACGCAUGGUGAUGCGCAUGUGCAGCAUCGUGCAUUGUGUGGCCUUGCAUGUGGGCAUGCUUGCACACUCGUGCGUGCCCACACGGGCUCCUGCGGGCUCACAGACGUGCACCCUCACUUCUGCACUACCACCAGAGUGCAAAGCCUUGCACACAUCCAUGCCCCCACACUUGUGCACCAUCCUCACACACAUGUGGCCUUGCACACCCAUGCACACUCACAGACUUGUGCAUGGUCUGGCAUGUGCAUGAGCUUGCACACUCUCGUGCACACCCCCCCAGCCCCACAAGGCCUCGUGCGAAGUCCUGUGCCCCCCGGCGUCCCCUGGCCAUGGGCGUAGGGCCCGGUGCACGCGCAGGCCGGCGUGACAGCCCGUGCCCCAGCGUGCCCCGUGUCCCGUGGUGCCCUGGGAGCGCCCGGGGCCCUUGGCGUGCCGCCUGUGUCCCGUCGUGCCCUGGGAGUGCCGCGGGCGUUGGCGUCACUCCCGGCUUCCCAGCGUGCUCCAGGGCGGGGCAGCGUGAGCAGGGAGGCCUCGCACGCGCGUGUGCAAGGGGCCUGCUGCAGCUCCACCCCCCCCCCCGACCUGACUGUAGCCGGUGUGCAAAGCCUCACAUGUGCACAGGGCUGUGGCUCUCAGCGUGUGCUGCUCUCCACCACCUUGCACACGUGUCCCUGUGCAAACUUUGCACCAACCCCCUGGGCAGCCCUUGCACCAACACUUUGUGCAACCCUUGCGCCAAAGCAUCCCCAUGCAACACUUCCACAGCUCCCCCCAGUCCCUCCCCGUGCAGCUCUUGCACUAGCUCACGCCUGUGCAGUCCUUGCACGGAACCCCCCCGUGCAAUCCUUGCACCAAGC
rnacentral:lncRNA from 1 species